CGCCCUCAAGACAGGUCAGACAAGCCCACUCUGCAGCUUGUCACUUCGCUUGAGUCCUCCCAUAACAAAGAGACUAAGGCUAUUACUCUUGGAAGCUAUUUGCCUCUUAAUUGUGGGAUCAAAGCUGGUGGCAAGCAUCAGUUCAUCAGAUUUUUGCAGAAGCUCUCACAUGUGACCUUUCAGUUGCUCCUUGAGCCUCCUGACGAAUCCAGCUAUAUCACUAAUUAGUAUUCAACCAGGAACAUCUUCACGAUUUUCAAGGAAGGCAUCCAUCUUGAGUGAACAAGAAUUGUCCUGGAGACUUGAGCUAUGUGGCCCUGCUGUGUUUGAUUGCUUCCUGUGCAUGGUGAAAAAGAAGUUGGGGUGUCAGCUGCCUCAGUCUGCAAAGUUAAGUACCGGGAGUUUUUUUUUUUUUCUUAGCCCUCUCCUCGUUUUCUCCUCCGUAUCAGACAGCAAUGUUUUUUUGUUUUUUUUUAACCUUAACAUUGCGGGGUGGCCAGGCAGCUGAGUUACCCAAACAGCAAGCACCAGCACACUGUGCCCACUGUCCCUCCCAGCAAGUCUGCCCGAUAUUUCCUAAAAGUAUAAACUCAUCUAGUUCAUAGGAUAGCCUUAUGCUUCUCCCAGGCAUUCUUAAGGCUACCCACAGUGUUUGUCACUCCAUAAUUUAGAAGCCUUUUGCAGUAUGACUGGGAUAAACUGUAGUAGAGGUCUGAGAGUGGUCUUGUAUAUAGAUACCUUAUAACCCCCCCCCCCCUCUGUAUUGGUUCUGUAUGCUCUCUGCAUUUAUACAUGUUUCGCUCUAACUGUUGUACUCUGUAUUUAUAUAAUUUGGGACAUAUCAGACCGUGUGUAGAGGUUGUUGAACAUUGUGGAAUAAGGUGAUAUUCCUUUGCAAUGUGUUUGGAAACUUUUAAAACAAAAAAAUGUGUACAUGGGGCUUCUUGGACACAGGGGAGCAAUGAGCCUUUCAUCGGAGUAGAAGUAAAGUCUUCUCUUGUGCAUGUAUUCUAAUUAUUCAAACACUUUCUCAAGCUGUCAUCUAAAACCUGUCCUGAAAUCCAUGCAUCACAAUUAUUACCACUAUUAAAGUUAUUACUACUAUUAAAGGUACAUAAAACCCUUAUAAAAUAUUUCCUGAUUCAAAUAGAGCAUGCAACGUUCCAUAGGGAGAGAGAGAGGGGGAGAGAAAAAAAGGGAGAGAAAAAAAACAAGGGCAUUAAAGGGACAUAAAACAAAAGUUAUUCUUCCAUGACUCAGAUAAAGCAGACAAUUAACGUCUAUUGUCAAAUGUGCUUUAUUCUCUUGGCAUCCUUUGUUGAAGGAACAGCAAUGCACUACUGGGAUCUAGCUGAACUAAUAGGGUGAGCCAAUCAUAAGAGGCAUAUAAGUGCAGUUACCAAUCAGCAGCUAGCGCCCAAUUGUGCAUUGUUGCU